UACAGAGGGUGCGAGCGUUAAUCGGAAUUACUGGGCGUAAAGCGUGCGUAGACGGUUAUUUAAGUCGGAUGUGAAAGCCCCGGGCUCAACCUGGGAAUUGCAUUCGAGACUGUGUCGCUGGAGUACGGAAGAGGAAGGCGGAAUUCCCGGUGUAGCGGUGAAAUGCGUAGAUAUCGGGAGGAACAUCAGUGGCGAAGGCGGCCUUCUGGUCCAGUACUGACACUCAAGUGCGAAAGCGUGGGGAGCAAACAGG
rnacentral:rRNA from 1 species